rnacentral:tRNA from 1 species
AUCCUAGUAGCUCAGAUGGUUGGAGUUUCAGCCUCCAACUCUAAGGUACCGGGUUCGAAUCCCGACAAUGACA